AAAAUACAUUCUCCAUUUUAUUUAAGCUUCGUCGACAGCAUAAUUUCUCCGAUUGUAUCAAACCUUGAUAUAUCAAACCUUAUUCAGGCUGUGAAGAACAGGAUUUACACACGGAUGGAAGGAUUCACUGGCAUGAAGAAAUUGAUAAUGGGAGAGGGGUCUCAUGGAUAUCUUGCAGACUUUUACAAGCAGCAUUUUCUCACUGGCGUUGGUGGAAUGAACAGACUUACUUAUUUCUCACUCCAAUGUGAUUGUUUUGAUGAACUUGUGGAGCUUCUGGGUAAAAACUGCUCAAC